rnacentral:lncRNA from 1 species
AGCCAGGCGAGUCAGCUUGCCCUGCAGCACUGACUUCUCCUUUUUAGGCACCUUGACUGCCUUCUUGUCCUUUUCCUCAUUGUCGAUUCCCUCCUGGCUGUUGAGUGGCUGGAUUUCCAGGGCCACUCCGUCUUGGGUCUUUGCUUUGUUGCGAUUUUCAGGGACUCCUUGUUUUUUACCUUUCUUCUUUUUCUCCCCUUCGUCAUCCUCAUUGACCCCCAAGAGAGUAAGGAUGAUUCCAGUCUGAGAGUUGAC